CGGAUAUCUGGGAUUUUAAAGCGAUUCAAAGUUAUGCAAAUUAUUCAAAAUAAGUUUCGUGCAAUUAUAAUUAAAGAUCAUUAAUAUGCAUAUUGCCGUUCAUUGUUUCGUAACCCGAUCAGAGGAUUGACUGCAAUUAUUUAGCCAUUGGCAUGUUUUCGCUCAUUUCAAUGGGGAAAUCCUCUCGUAGCUUAUUCACAAAAAUAAAUUUUGCAUCAUCGGAUAUAGCUUUGUGAACAUAGCUACUAUCAGCUAUGUCGGCGUUUACAAUGACGUGUGUCGCAUUAUGCGUAUUUUCAUCACUGGUCCUCGGUGCUCAAAGUGACCGUGCACACGGCGCUUUGGCUCAUCGUGGUCAUCGAGGACAUGACCACCACGGACAUCGUCACCACGGACACCACAGAGAACAUGGUCAUUUAGGACACCACAGACACGAGUCUCACGACCAUGGCGUUCACAGACAUCAUGGAUCUCAUAGACACGGUCUUCACAGGCACGUCGCUCACAGACAUGGUGUGCAUGGACAUGGUGCUCACGGGCAUAAUAUUUACGGCGAUGGUGCUCACGGACAUAAUAUUCACGGCCAUGGUGCUAACGGACAUAGUGUUCACGAGCAUGGUGCUCACGUAAACGGCGCUCGUGUUCAUGGUGCUCACGGACACAGAAUCCACGGUCAUGCUGCUCACGGACAUAAUAUUCACGGACAUAGUGCUCACAGACAUAAUGUUUAUGGGCAUGGUGCUCAAGCACACGGCGCUCAUGGACACGAUGCUCAUGGACAUGGCGUUCACGGACAUGGUGCUCACGUUAAUGAACAUCAUCAUGGACACCACGAGAUCUCCCACAUUGAUUUCGGAGACGGUCACCCACAUGUCAACCAUGGCCCGAAUGGGGCUGUCAUCAAAUCUCCAGAAGGACU
rnacentral:misc_RNA from 1 species